AGGCACGAGCCCCAACCAGGUGCAGCGAUCACGUGGCACGGAGGAAGCGGGAGUCUCCUCACUAGCGGAAGGCUUUUUGGAAUUUUGGGAUUGAAUCCAUGGCCUUCACACUGUGUAUGCCUUAUUCUUGACAAGUUUAACAAACCCCAUCCUGUGGAAUAGACACCUGUGUCUGCUCUGCAUAGACCAGCUGGCCCAGCAGUGCUACAGAGGAGAAAUGUCUGGGACCUCACACCUGUAUUUUGGAUCACACUCACCAAGUGCCAUAGAAAAUGCUCAGAAGAUGGACAUUUGGCAUAAUAGACUGCUCCUUUCCCAGUGCUCUUGGAUACAGCUUGGCAAACAAUACCUAUUCCAAGAAACACCAUUCUUCACCACGGUCGUGUUAUUUCUCUCAUAUAGGCAGUGCUGCAUCCAGAGAAAAUUGACUGACCCCAAAGCAAGCAGGGAGCAGCACAGAAGUUUGUAAAAUUGGUCUUGGCACCUCUCAUGCCUGCGACUAUUUUGAGUCAUUGGUGUCUGAGCUUCUGAUUAUCCAAGGAAACCCACAGAAAAGAGCCAGUCUCCACAUGCCCUUUGCCCUGAAAGUUCUCAAGAGAUAAUUUCUCUGCCACUCUAAGAAACUCAAUGUGAUAUCUUACAAGAAAAUACACCCCCCCACACACUGUACUGGGUAUUGAACCCAGAGACUUUUCACUGAGUUGCAUCCCCAGCUCUUUUCAUUUUUUUUUUCUAGUUUUUGGAUGGGUAUCACUACUUUACCAAGUUGCCCUAGGUUGAGCUUGAACUUGUGAUCCUCCUGCCUCAACCUCCCAGAGUUCUGGGAUUGCAGAUGUGUGCCACCACACCUAGCCACAAAUAAAAUUAUCAGGCAGAUCUCUAAAUGGAGUGGCAGGAAGAACAAAAUGUUGAAUUCCUUUGUACUAACCAAAGGACAGAGCCUUCCAGAAUGAGUUCAAAGGAUACGUCUCCCUGGCCCUCCGGUCUGUCCGCUUCUGCCAGGGGUGCUUCCUGACCUCAGCUCUCCCUCCUCCCUCUGGAGUCCCCAACCCAGCUCCCAUCCCAGACCUCUCUUCAGGUUCCUCUCUUAGGUGACCCCACUGUUCUCUCUGCAAGCAACCUUACCUCACCUGUCAUAGGAAGCUUCUUCCUCUGGCUCCUUCCUCUGUCUUCAAACUCAAGCAGGUUUCAGGUUGACUGUAGCUUUCAGAGAACAGCUUCCAUUUCCUGAAAAACAUUUAAUGACGGCAGAAUCUCCUCACUGGUGAGAUAGGUGUUAGCAGUGAACUGAGUAUAAUCUUUAAUACCAAC
rnacentral:lncRNA from 1 species